rnacentral:rRNA from 1 species
AUGGCGAAGAAUGGAGGAGAGGGCCCAGCGAUCGGCAUCGACCUGGGCACCACCUACUCGUGCGUCGGCGUGUGGCAGCACGACCGAGUGGAGAUCAUCGCCAAUGACCAGGGCAACCGCACCACGCCCUCCUACGUUGGCUUCACCGACACCGAGCGCCUCAUCGGCGACGCCGCCAAGAACCAGGUCGCCAUGAACCCCACCAACACCGUCUUCGAUGCCAAGCGGUUGAUCGGCAGGCGGUUCACCGACCCGUCGGUGCAGAGCGACAUGAAGCUGUGGCCGUUCAAGGUCAUCCCCGGCCCUGCUGACAAACCGAUGAUCGUCGUCCAGUACAAGGGCGAGGAGAAGCAGUUCGCCGCCGAGGAGAUCUCCUCGAUGGUGCUCAUCAAGAUGAAGGAGAUCGGUGAGGCCUACCUCGGCACCACCAUCAAGAACGCCGUCGUCACGGUGCCGGCCUACUUCAACGACUCGCAGCGUCAGGCCACCAAGGACGCCGGGGUCAUCGCCGGCCUCAAUGUGAUGCGCAUCAUCAACGAGCCCACUGCCGCCGCCAUUGCCUACGGCCUUGACAAGAAGGCCAGCAGCUCUGGCGAAAAGAACGUGCUCAUCUUCGACCUCGGUGGCGGCACGUUCGAUGUGUCGCUGCUCACCAUCGAGGAGGGCAUCUUCGAGGACAUCAGCGGCAACCCUCGCGCGCUGCGCCGGCUGCGCACGGCCUGCGAGCGCGCCAAGCGCACCCUGUCGUCGACCGCCCAGACCACCAUCGAGAUCGACUCCCUGUACGAGGGCGUCGACUUCUACUCGACCAUCACCAGGGCUCGGUUCGAGGAGCUCAACAUGGACCUGUUCCGCAAGUGCAUGGAGCCCGUGGAGAAGUGCCUGCGCGACGCCAAGAUGGACAAGAGCACCGUGCACGACGUCGUGCUCGUCGGCGGAUCCACCCGCAUCCCCAAGGUGCAGCAGCUGCUCCAGGACUUCUUCAACGGCAAGGAGCUGUGCAAGAGCAUCAACCCCGACGAGGCCGUGGCCUACGGCGCCGCCGUGCAGGCCGCCAUCCUCAGCGGCGAGGGCAACGAGAAGGUGCAGGACCUGCUCCUGCUCGACGUCACGCCGCUGUCCCUCGGCCUGGAGACCGCCGGCGGCGUGAUGACGACGCUCAUCCCGCGGAACACCACCAUCCCGACCAAGAAGGAGCAGAUAUUCUCCACCUACUCGGACAACCAGCCGGGCGUGCUGAUCCAGGUCUUCGAGGGCGAGCGCGCGCGGACCAAGGACAACAACCUGCUGGGCAAGUUCGAGCUGUCCGGCAUCCCCCCGGCCCCCCGCGGCGUGCCCCAGAUCACCGUCUGCUUCGACAUCGACGCCAACGGCAUCCUGAACGUGUCGGCCGAGGACAAGACCGCCGGCGUGAAGAACAAGAUCACCAUCACCAACGACAAGGGGCGGCUGAGCAAGGAGGACAUCGAGAAGAUGGUGCAGGAGGCGGAGCGGUACAAGGCCGAGGACGAGGAGCUGAAGAAGAAGGUGGAGGCCAAGAACGCGCUGGAGAACUACGCCUACAACAUGAGGAACACCGUCAAGGACGACAAGAUCGCGUCCAAGCUCCCGGCCGCCGACAAGAAGAAGAUCGAGGACGCCAUCGACGGCGCCAUCAGCUGGCUCGACACCAACCAGCUCGCGGAAGCGGACGAGUUCGAGGACAAGAUGAAGGAGCUGGAGGGCGUCUGCAAUCCUAUCAUCGCCAAGAUGUACCAGGGCGCAGGGCCGGACAUGGGUGGCAUGGGCGGUGCCGCCGGCAUGAAUGAGGAUGCGCCGGCCGGCGGAAGCGGUGCGGGGCCCAAGAUCGAGGAGGUCGAUUAA